AGAGUUUGAUCCUGGCUCAGGACGAACGCUGGCGGCGCGCCUAACACAUGCAAGUCGAACGAGAGAGAGGGAGCUUGCUCCCUUGAUCGAGUGGCGAACGGGUGAGUAACGCGUGAGGAACCUGCCUCAAAGAGGGGGACAACAGUUGGAAACGACUGCUAAUACCGCAUAAGCCCACGGCUCGGCAUCGAGCAGAGGGAAAAGGAGUGAUCCGCUUUGAGAUGGCCUCGCGUCCGAUUAGCUAGUUGGUGAGGUAACGGCCCACCAAGGCGACGAUCGGUAGCCGGACUGAGAGGUUGAACGGCCACAUUGGGACUGAGACACGGCCCAGACUCCUACGGGAGGCAGCAGUGGGGAAUAUUGCACAAUGGGGGAAACCCUGAUGCAGCGACGCCGCGUGGAGGAAGAAGGUCUUCGGAUUGUAAACUCCUGUUGUUGAGGAAGAUAAUGACGGUACUCAACAAGGAAGUGACGGCUAACUACGUGCCAGCAGCCGCGGUAAAACGUAGGUCACAAGCGUUGUCCGGAAUUACUGGGUGUAAAGGGAGCGCAGGCGGGAGAACAAGUUGGAAGUGAAAUCCAUGGGCUCAACCCAUGAACUGCUUUCAAAACUGUUUUUCUUGAGUAGUGCAGAGGUAGGCGGAAUUCCCGGUGUAGCGGUGGAAUGCGUAGAUAUCGGGAGGAACACCAGUGGCGAAGGCGGCCUACUGGGCACCAACUGACGCUGAGGCUCGAAAGUGUGGGUAGCAAACAGGAUUAGAUACCCUGGUAGUCCACACCGUAAACGAUGAUUACUAGGUGUUGGAGGAUUGACCCCUUCAGUGCCGCAGUUAACACAAUAAGUAAUCCACCUGGGGAGUACGACCGCAAGGUUGAAACUCAAAGGAAUUGACGGGGGCCCGCACAAGCAGUGGAGUAUGUGGUUUAAUUCGACGCAACGCGAAGAACCUUACCAAGUCUUGACAUCCUGCGACGCACAUAGAAAUAUGUGUUUCCUUCGGGACGCAGAGACAGGUGGUGCAUGGUUGUCGUCAGCUCGUGUCGUGAGAUGUUGGGUUAAGUCCCGCAACGAGCGCAACCCUUA
rnacentral:rRNA from 1 species